GGAGGAUUGCACCCUAUCAAUUACUAGCAAAAAUAAUAAUUUUUUUUAUAUUUUUUUGAUUUAAUUAAAAGAUUUUUUUUCUUUUUAAACUUCAAAUUUCGAAUCUCAGAAUUCAAAUUUUGAAUUUAAAAAUUUUUUGAAUUUUUGAAAUUUUUUUAAUUUUAAAUUUCGAAUUUCAAAUUUCAGAAUUUAAUAACUACGAAAUUAUUAACUAGAAAUUAUCAAAAUAAGAAAAAUUAAUAAAAAUAAAAAUAAAAACUUACUACCGGAGUACGUUCACUCCGGGCAUCCAAAAUUUGAUUUGAUCUUCGUGAUCGUUCUUGCUUCUCGAUUUGCCUCCCCGGCAACGGCGCCAAAAUUCUGUUCGUCCGAUUUCUGUCUACCUAAAAAUAUGCUAGACAGAUCGUUGUUAGAACCGACGAACAAAAGUUAAAUUUAAAUUCUACUCUUACCUUUCCUACUCGAAGAAUAGUGGUUGUAAGAGGUCGAUCCACAGGGAGGCGAUUGGAGUUGCUUAAAAAUUAGAACGUUCACUCGAAUUCAAAAUCGAUUUUUGAAUAACUAAAUAAAAACAUGAUGUCAGGGAUGAUGAUAGAUUCUCUAAUUUACCAGAGAAUUUUCUUUAUUUAAAAAUAAUAAAAAGACAAGUACUUAGAAAUCAAAGAGCAUUUAUAAAUUCAUGAAAUGUUUAACUAUUCAAAGGAAAAUUUUGGCAUAAAUUAAAAUGGAUGAAAGCAAGUGCUAAGAAGAUCN
rnacentral:lncRNA from 1 species